rnacentral:rRNA from 1 species
CCUACGGGAGGCAGCAGUGAGGAAUAUUGGUCAAUGGCCGGAAGGCUGAACCAGCCAUGCCGCGUGAAGGUCAGUGCCCUAUGGGCGUUAAACUUCUUUUGUGCGGGAGCAAUAAUGGUCACGUGUGGCCAGACGAGAGUACCGUACGAAUAAGCAUCGGCUAACUCAGUGCCAGCAGCCGCGGUAAUACGGGGGAUGCAAGCGUUAUCCGGAUUUAUUGGGUUUAAAGGGUGCGUAGGCUGUGAGGUAAGUCAGCGGUGAAAUGCCCCCGCUCAACGGGGUGAAGUGCCAUUGAUACUGCCUGGCUGGAAUGCGGAUGCCGUGGGAGGAAUGUGUGGUGUAGCGGUGAAAUGCAUAGAUAUCACACAGAACACCGAUUGCGAAGGCAUCUCACGAAUCCGCGAUUGACGCUGAUGCACGAAAGCGUGGGUAUCAAACAGGAUUAGAUACCCCAGUAGUC